CCAGACGGCCGGGCGACCGCUGCCAGCUUCGCGAGAGGCGGUGGAGGAAAGUCCGGGCUCCACGGAAGAACGGUGCCGGCUAACGGCCGGCGGGGGCGACCCCAGGGACAGUGCCACAGAGAAGAGACCGCCCCGCCGCCGAAAGGCGCAAGGGGCAAGGGUGAAACGGUGGGGUAAGAGCCCACCGCGCCCCUGGCGACAGGGGCGGCACGGCAAACCCCACCGGGAGCAAGGCCGAAUAGGGAUGGCCGGAGAGGGUCCGCAAGGGCUCGUCGCCAGGGGUUUUUCCGCCCCGCCAUCCGGGUUGGCCGCGAGAAGUCGCCGGUGACGGCGACUCCAGAGGAAUGGUCGCCCGGUCCGCAAGGGCCGACAGAACCCGGCUUACAGGCCGUCUGGCAUU
rnacentral:RNase_P_RNA from 1 species